UACGUAGGGGGCAAGCGUUGUCCGGAUUUAUUGGGCGUAAAGAGCGUGUAGGCGGCCGGACAGGUCUGCUGUGAAAACUCGAGGCUCAACCUCGAGAUGUCGGCGGAAACCGUCUGGCUAGAGUCCGGAAGAGGAGAGUGGAAUUCCUGGUGUAGCGGUGGAAUGCGUAGAGAUCCGGAAGAACACCGGUGGCGAAGGCGGCCCGCUGGGCAACUGCUGACACUGAGGCGCGACAGCGUGGGGAGCAAACAGG
rnacentral:rRNA from 1 species